UGGGGAAUUUUGGACAAUGGGGGAAACCCUGAUCCAGCCAUCCCGCGUGUGCGAUGAUGGCCUUCGGGUUGUAAAGCACUUUUGGCAGGAAAGAAACGUCGCGGGUUAAUACCCCGCGAAACUGACGGUACCUGCAGAAUAAGCACCGGCUAACUACGUGCCAGCAGCCGCGGUAAUACGUAGGGUGCAAGCGUUAAUCGGAAUUACUGGGCGUAAAGCGUGCGCAGGCGGUUCGGAAAGAAAGAUGUGAAAUCCCAGAGCUUAACUUUGGAACUGCAUUUUUAACUACCGGGCUAGAGUGUGUCAGAGGGAGGUGGAAUUCCGCGUGUAGCAGUGAAAUGCGUAGAUAUGCGGAGGAACACCGAUGGCGAAGGCAGCCUCCUGGGAUAACACUGACGCUCAUGCACGAAAGCGUGGGGAGCAAACAGGAUUAGAUACCCUGGUAGUCCACGCCCUAAACGAUGUCAACUAGCUGUUGGGGCCUUUCGGGCCUUGGUAGCGCAGCUAACGCGUGAAGUUGACCGCCUGGGGAGUACGGUCGCAAGA
rnacentral:rRNA from 1 species